GUGCUUUCUGGGGUCCUUCAGCAGCAGUGCAAUGAGGAGCAUGCACAGGAGAGAUUCUAUUUUCCUUGGAUGGCUUUCUUGAGCCUUGGAAAUCUGGCUCACCAGGAAUUCUAGGCUUCUGUUGUCCCUUGCUUCCUAUCUCCAGCUGCAAUUAUAAAGAUGCACACACACAAAAGAGAAAGAGGAGCAAAAAGAGUGAAGAAAACAUGUCCAUUUAUCAGAAAAUAAAUAUACAAGUACAAUAGAAGAAAAGGGGGUAGAAAACAUUUUGAAGAUUUAGAAAGACCAAAAGCACAAUGAUGCCUUUCUUUUUACUCACAUUUGAUGACAUCCAUAGUGAGAAACAGCAGUUCCACUGUCCAACACCAGGAAAUGUUCUGACUGUUUCACCGCUCCAGCUAAUACUUACAGAGGUGUGGCCUAUUCCCACUUGUAUUGGGGGCUUUAGAAUCUGACUCCUUACAUUCCUAAGAUUAAAAGACAUCUUGUGCUGUUUUAUGUUCUGAGAAGGAUUGAUUACCACAAAGACAGAUCUAUAGAGAAUGUGAGUGGAAACUAUACGAGCUGCUAACGGGACAAGGCAUUUAAGAAUCAUCCGAGUUCUGCUCUUCUUGCUGGCUGGAGCUAAGAAUUCAAGAACAAACACCAGCAAAGAGAUUCAAUACAAAUAUCCAAUUUUGAGAUAAGGGAUGGAUAACCAUAGUGCAUGCCCUCAGAACUUUUAAUCUUUAUGAAACAUUUGAAGACCUCGAGAAAGGACAAUACCCUUGGUUCUAUACAGAUGCUGUCAUGAAUUCAUCUUAUAUCAGUUUCAUAAAUCUGAGAAAACAAACUAGAGAGAAGGCAACACAUAUUUCAUUUUAGCUGUGAGCAACUUCCAUUGUGAAUCAAGGAUUCAUUCAAAAUACAUCUGGUAUGAGGUUUUGCUUUUCACAGAAUGGCAACAUCUAACCUCAUCACACAGGUGAGGACAAAGCAAUUGUAUCUUUUAGAGAGGUACACAUUUUAAAACUUCAGAUGUGAGUUUUCAGAUGUAGGAAAAAAAGCUUUGUAAUUUCUCCUAUAAAAAAGCCACCACUCACCUAUAUCUUGGGUGUGCUACAUGAAGCACACCAAGGAAUAUGAAGUUCAACUCUGUGAUUAUGAUUUUCAAAUGUUAAAUAAAU
rnacentral:lncRNA from 10 species